GAAUAUUGGACAAUGGGCGAAAGCCUGAUCCAGCCAAGCCGCGGGUGUGAAGAAGGUCCUCGGAGUGUAAAGCACUUUAAGUUGGGAGGAAGGGAAGUAAGCGAAUACCUUGCUGUUUUGACGUUACUGAAAGAAUAAGCACCGGACAACUCUGUGCCAGCAGCCGCGGUAAUACAUAGGGUGCAAGCGUUACUCGGAAUUACUGGGCGUAAAGCGGGCGUAGGUGGUUCGUUAAGUUGGAUGUGAAAUCCCCGGGCUCAACCUGGGAACUGCAUCCAAAACUUGCGCGCUCUCUUCUGCCAGAGGGUGGUGAAAUUUCCUGUGUAGCGGUGAAAUGCGUAGAUAUAGGAAGGAACACCAGUGGCGAAGGCGACCACCUGGGCUCAUACUGACACUGAGGUGCGAAAGCGUGGGGAGCAAACA
rnacentral:rRNA from 1 species